ensembl:lincRNA Gm29040 predicted gene 29040
CAUGGCCCAGGAGGACGACCUUGGCUUGCCUACUCUUGUCACCGCCUGCUCACCCCCUUCAGCCUCCAAGUAGAGCUCCUGAACGUCAAGCAUCGAUGUUAUAGAGGAUGUUAGAGGUACACCGUGAGGCCAUGCCUUAGACUUACUGAGUGGAACACUCCAGCUGAGCCAGCAUCUGUGUUUCUGUUAGCCUUUUGGGAAACACUGGCCUGUCUAGCACUGCAUGAUCCCCUUUGGUGGUCUUGGCAAAUCACAGCGUUGGAAAACACUCUCAUCACUACACCGAGAGCCUUCCAAUGGAGACUUAACAGAAUGCCAACUGCAGCAACAGAAGGAAAAACUUGGGUAGCAAGAAAGCGCGUCCAUAUUCUUCCGUUCAGUUAUAAUGAGGGGUUUGAAGGUAUCAGAUCCUGCCCGGCAUGGGCCUGACAUCCCAAGAGACAGUUCUGUGAAGAAUGUCAUUGGAAUUUUGAAGAGGAUCACAUCAAAUCCGUAGGUUAUUUUGCUUGCAAAAUAAUGACAAUUCACAAUGACAAGUCUGUUAGCUCAUCAGUAUGAAGGUGACUCCAUUGACUUUGGCCUGACCCUGACUGUGAGUGAACAGCGAUGUGGCCGAUGAGCUAAUCUGAGGGAAAACAAAAGCUGAGAGAAGACAACUGUAAGCUUGGAUGUGUUCGGGGCAUCUGGAGAGGCAGCCCAUGUAAGGCCAGGUCCAACAUUCGUGAUCCAGGAUGAAGAAGGGAAAGGAUUCAGCCAUCCACAGUGACACAGAGGUCUCAGAGAAUCGAGAGUGCUCAGAGACAUGCCAAGAGCACAUGAUUGACAGGGAAGGCAACUCCUGGGAUGGAAGCCAGCCGCUCCUCUUGGUUCAGUGCCACUGGCCAGGCUGGCACACAGGAACGUGUGCUCACGUCUCCCUGUGCUGGAGCAGCUGUCAAGUACUUGGCCUUUGACAUGACCUUUGGGGAUCCUCGCUGACUUGCUUCAGGCAGGGGUUUUCCAUGAAUUCAUGUGAUGCUGAUUUCCACACAAGAGUCCUUAUUUUUUUUUCCAUGUAAAACACAGACAUUAUAUCCUAAACAUUUACAGUGUAAGAGAUGAAUUGUUCAUUUAGAUGGUUCCAAUUUCAUUGCUGAUUUUUCUGUAAGUUUACCUGUAUUUUUGAUGUUUCUAACUGGUAUGUCAAAACC